CUGCGGCCUGAAGAUGCCUGAGGCCCGGACUCUCAGACCCCUAUUGCCCUUUGGUGCUGGAGGCCCAGCGGCAGCCUGAAGCCCAAGAGAGUGGAGCCUCGCGAAAUGAGGAACCUGGCACAAGGUUUGCUUGGAAGCAGGAACGACGGAGUGUGGCUACGUGCCCUAUUUGCCAUUAACGCUUUCUUGCAUGGCAGUGAGAGAUGAGGGCAAGGGAGGUGGCAUAAUGCUCCCGGCCGCUUGGGACUCGGAGAGACGGCAUUUAAUAAAUCACACGCGGUAUUUGCGAAACAGUGGUCGAGAUUCGUCUUCCCGGGUUCAUUGCGUCAUUAAUAGGCGGGAACAGUGCCCCUGUGUUGAGGCUGCAGAGGCCCUAAUUGGUUUUCCCAAGACAGAGGGGCAUAUGAGAUUGAACAAAUAUUUGUUGAAUGAAUGAACAAAGGGAACGCCUUUUAGGGAUGUUUCUGGGGGAAAGGCCUGAGGUUCUCCAGGAGGGUCUGCAGCUAGGGUCGGCCGUGGGGGCUCGCAGCCCGCGGGACCACCGGACCUGCAAGCGUCCCCCUGCCCCGCCCCCGCCUCGGCGCUCUGAGCAAUUGGACUCUGCCAGCUCUAACUCCGGCGGGACUCUGAAACUCAGGCAAGAGCCGAGGUGUUCUGGACUUGGAAGAUUUGUUGAAUUACUAUGAAGUCACAUCUAAAGUUUGAAAGAGAUCGGGUCUCACUAUUUUGCCCACGCUGGUCUUGAACUCCUGUCCUCAAGCAGGAUAUCCUCCUGCCUUGGCCUCCCAAAGUUCUGGGAUUACAGGUAUGAGCCACUACACUCAGCCUUAUUAAUAUAAAUCUAAUAAUAUUAUGUCUCUGUGUUAGCAAUGGUAUGAAACCCCCCAAAUGGUGUUAGAUCCAGAGUCAUUUGUCUCUGACAUUUCUUAGGAAAUGUUUUUCCUUUCUAUCGAUGAAUGGGUUCCUACGGAUAGCUUGUUCAUUCUCUCUUUAAUUUUGGUUAAAGCAUUUCCGAAAGUGGGAGGAUACGUCUCCUUUCUUUAACUUCUGGUGGAAGGGUGUGGAAUUUAUCAAAAAUAUGAGGGAAGACUGCAUAAAUGUAGGGGCAGAGUAUUUAUAUUAACAUUACCUUGUUUUCUUCUGUGGGAUAUUUAGGAACUAUUUUUUUUUCUGGAAGUAGUGAUGGCAUCAAGGCUUAAAGUAGGAAAGAAGUAAAGAGAAUAAUUGUGUAGUUAUUAUGUGAAUGUUUAAUUGAAUGCUCCCUAUUUUUAAUUAAGAUGUUUAAAUUAAAUGAAUUUUUUUUUUUAAACGUAGUCUCGCUCUGUCGCCAGGCU
rnacentral:lncRNA from 1 species